rnacentral:lncRNA from 1 species
UUUGUUAUUAUGUUUUCUGGUCUGUGACCAAGAUAUUUUUCACCCUUAGGUGCCCCAUUGUGUGGGAUCUUGCACUUUAUAAAUAUGGUUUUAUCUGUUUUUAGUUAGAUGCUCACUUUUAUCCUUAGACAUAUUUCGCUACAAAGAAAAGUUGUCUUUGGAUAAAUCUCUACAAAGAUUAAGAAAUUUUUUCUUUGUCUAUGAAAUUAUUACGAGUGAUCUACGUACCAUAUUUUAAGGGUGUAAUUCUAGAACGAUAUACUUACAUUGCAC